CGUACGCAUCUGCCUCCUCAACUCGAACCCUCGCCUUUGCCCAUGCCGAGCCCUCGCCGCCGCCACACCUCAGCCCCCUCGCCGCCACUGCAGCACCUCAGCCCGCUCGCCGCCCCGGUCGCCGCGGUCGCACCUCAGCCCGCUGGCCGUCCCCGCCUCCGCGGUCGCACCUCUGCCCGCUCGCCGCCCCCGUCGCAACCCAACGCCCCCCUCCCCCACCCCCCUCCAAUGGAUGCCGCCCCAACUACCUCAUCCAAUAGGACGCCGGCCGCGGCGUCACAGCUUCUUCAACGUAUGCCUCACAAUGGGGCUCGCUGUGCUGCUGGCGGACAGCCGCGGCCUCGCUGGUGUGGUGCGGGAUUUCCAGAUCACCCGGCGGCUGGGGUUGGAGGAUGGCGUUCCCACAACUCCUCAUCGGGGUUCCAUAGGGGCUGCAGGUGCAGCUGCAUCAAGCGAAUUGGCCGACGGCGUGCAAUGCAUAGACAAAGCAGAAGUCAGUAUGGAGCAAAUACGAGUUCGGUUGCUCUUCUGACAAUUUCACUUUGAUUUUGUUGUUAGUGACUGAUUGAGGCGUCACUCCCACCACGGCGGUGACGGCAACCUUCCCCCUCCAGCCACUGUGGCCGCAGCGUACCGCUCCAACGCCAUCUGACACAACCGUCUUGUGGUGGAGGAGGGCCACCUCGAGCACAUCGGGAAGCGGUGAGCGUGUUCGCCACAUGUUCUGCCGAGUCAUCGAUGUCAUUUUCUAGGUUUGUGAGUGCACUGUCUGGUGCUUCUUUUUACGGUGUCCGUCAACACAAGCACAGCGUGUUCCAAGUAUUAACUGAGAGAGUGUGCUCCCAUUGGGUUCUGUGGCCGGUGAGGCAUAACUGGAAGUUUCUCUGAUGGUCGACAACAAGGUACCCCACUGCUUGAAUAUUUACAUGGUUAAUGUGAGUUGAAUCAUCAAAGGUCUGCGCGUUGGUAAUGGUUGAAAAAUUCAUUGCAUUAGAGAAAACUGAACGGUCUAUCAGUUCUCUAAUAAUACAUAUUACAGAAUGUACCUUUCUAUUCGAUCGUAGGAUCACUGCACAACAGGCUUUGGAGCAGGCUCUGAUUCACGGAGAACUCCCCAGCAACCUCACCUUUUGUGGAUUUUAGAUGGAUAUUGAAUCCAGUAAGCCUCCAAUAGAUAAACAAAGUCAAUUUUCUGUUGGUAGUUUGCAUGAAAGGGUUCUAGCUAAUUUAUGAUUGUGCCUACAACAGACUACAUCUGCCUGAAGAUUUGAGGUGUGACUCAAAUUUCGUGCUGUUAGAAAUCAACAAUGGAGAUUUCAGUUUUUUUCAUGUAUAUUCGUAUGGAUUUCAAGUUUAACGAAUCAUAAAAUUUUAUUCUAUAAUCAGAUCUUGGUAUGUUUUCAGAUUUUUCAGAGAAGAAAGAAGUCUAGAGGCGUGGACGUAUAUUUUUAGGGGGGAAUCAAGUCUGCAGAAUAUACACUAAUUUGAGGAAUUCAGAUGUUACCCAUGGUCAUACAGGGAAAGUGUGAAGCACUCUAGACAAUUUUCCGCAUUUCUCAUCCAAGAAACCGUUACAUUUAUGAUCUUUUCUAUAGAAGAAGGAAGGAUAUAUCUAAGGAGCUAUAUGAAUUUUGCCUGGACCAGGAUUAUGCAGACCGUAAUCUGAUUACUAAGUGGAAAAAGGCUUCCUUUAGAUCCAAUGUACUCCAAGGCAUUGAUAGUGUCUACCGAAUUCAAGUGCUUGGAAGGAAUGUUGAUUGAUGUUCGUAGCUACACUUGUCUGCAAUGAGACGACGUACAGGAGCAAUAAGAAGGAUCUGAUGAUGUACUUAUGGGCUGCCGAGCAGAACCACAAAUAGCCGUGUCUCCUUUGCUGCAUCAAGGUGUGACCUUGGGGAAGAAAGAGCCGGACAGCAAAUGAAAGACUGAGAGGACCAGGGAUUCUUCUUUGCCGGUGGUAAGGUGGAGACCCCUGCUUAGGGAACAUGUUGCGUACAUCCUCGCUGCUUUUCUUCUUUCAGUUUUAGAUACUUUCCAGCAGGCGUGUACCUAUCUUGCUAUGUACUGAAUUCUUUGCAACUAUAUUGCAAACUGUAUUAGGAGACAGAUAAUCAGGAAGAUAUAUAAUGUGUGUGUGUAUUAAUUAAUUAUUACCAUCUCCUAGCUAGCUUGACGUGAAAGAUCGAGGCAAUUUUUUACUGUAUGGAU